AGCCCAGACAGGAGAGCAGCGGUCUGCUUCAGCCAUGAGACCACCUCAGGCGAAAAUAGACUUGUGAAUUUCUGGCUUUUCCCUUUGGAGUCCAAGGAGCAAGGGCAGAAUGAGGAACAGGAUGUUUCUUACAGACUCAUGAGGCCGCAGCACAGAAACUGCAAGAAAUAUUUGAGGGCAUUUUUUUAAGCUCUCCACAUGUGGUUUACUGUGGACCAAACACUGGCAGCUUCAGGCUUACAAUCUGCUGACAAAUCCUUCUUAGUUCGUUCACUUUGAAGAAUGUGAGCAUGCACUGCUCAUGUGCGUGGCAAGCAUGCAACCUGAUCAGGAGAAGGACAGUGGCCACUCACGUCAUCAGGUGAACUUGUGACGAGGCCAUCAAGAGGCUGCACAUGUGCUCCAGAAAAUGAAAUUCCCACUAUCAACCUAUUUUCCAUUUCCACCCAAUGGCCCACCCCUGCUCCAAAGCCGUGUCUCCACCUCUUAGGAAUGCUUGAUUUUCAGUAUUGCUGAACAGGGGUCAAAGAAAACAAACUGAACAAAGAAACAAAUAAAGCCUUUAACCCGGGAGCAAAGACACAGCACCUCCCCACUCCGCAACAGCUCCAGAGCUGCACAGCUGCUGCCAGAGCCUGAGCACAGGCCUGAACUCUGGCCCAUGGA
rnacentral:lncRNA from 1 species